GCGGAGGAAAAGAAACUAACAAGGAUUCCCCUAGUAACUGCGAGUGAAGCGGGAUGAGCUCAAAUUUGAAAUCUGGCGGUUCUGCCGUCCGAGUUGUAAUCUGGAGAAGCGUCUUCCGUGCCGGACCGUGUACAAGUCCCUUGGAACAGGGCGUCAUAGAGGGUGAGAAUCCCGUCUUUGACACGGACUCCCGGUGCUCUGCGAUGCGCUCUCGAAGAGUCGAGUUGUUUGGGAAUGCAGCUCAAAAYGGGUGGUAAAUUCCAUCUAAAGCUAAAUAUUGGCGAGAGACCGAUAGCGAACAAGUACCGUGAGGGAAAGAUGAAAAGCACUUUGGAAAGAGAGUAAAACAGUACGUGAAAUUGUUGAAAGGGAAACGCUUGAAGUCAGUCGCGUCUUCUGGGACUCAGCCUUGCUCUGCUCGGUGCACUUCCCAGUUCGACGGGUCAGCAUCGGCUCUGGUGGGCGGACAAAGGCGCGGGGAAGGUGGCAGCCUCGGCUGUGUUAUAGCCCCGCGUUACACGUCCACCGGGACCGAGGAAUCCGGCGCUCGCGCCCGGGAUGCUGGCGUAAUGGCUUUAAACGACCCGUCUUGA
rnacentral:rRNA from 1 species